rnacentral:lncRNA from 1 species
GUAGGAAAAAAGAAGUAUCAAAUAGAACAAACCAACUUGAAUGUAUUCUUUCCCAUCACUUCUGCCUAAAGCAGUCAUUCGACGAAGGAUAUUUUUAUAUUACCUAAAACAGGCUAUUUUGAAGGUUUCACUGAGGGGUGUUCAUAUGAUCAGUCAGUUCAACACACAAAUCAGCGUGUUGGUGCUCCAGGGGCACAACUGAGCACAUCUAACACGUCAAGGGAAACCGUAAUGGAGGUGCAAAUGCUGCCACCCACAGACAUAGGUCACAUGAACAGAAUUAUUCUCACAUUACUUAGUAUUUCCAUCCACCACCCAAAAUUCAGAUUCCCCUACCACUCACCUUGUAAAAUUCCUUGCAAAUGCUCUGCUCACACAAGCACCCAUUACUGACGGAUAGAGGCAGACCUCUCAGCAACAGCAUGCUUCCCUGCCUGGACAGCUUUCCAUGGGCUCUCCAAAUAACAGGCUGUGCUGAGUGAAGUAAUGACUUGGAAAGAGUAGAAUAUCCACUGCCUUCUCUGUUUGGACUUCUUCACUGGCAGGCUCCCCUUCUUUUUUUGUUCAGUAUUUUACCUAGAGAGUGCUGAGCUACAGAGGAGCUAGAGAUUCUUCGACCAACUUGGUCCCGUCCUCUCUGCUGCAGCUCAAGAGCAAUGAGAGCAUGGUUGCUAAAUGUGGGACAGAUAACUGGAACCAGGCUUUUACACUCAGUAUAACUGGCAGAACUGACAGGAGAGGAAAGCAACAUACAGAGACAAGUUGCUCAGGCACACAAAGGUGAUUUUUCUGUGGAUGCCUAUAGGUUUGUGGAGUAGUUGAGGCAACCCCUUUGAACACUUAGGCUCAGGAUUUACACCUUCCUGUACCUGCAGAAGAAAAAGAUACAUAUUUCUUAGUAGUCCUGAUUCUGGUUUUCCAUUCUAUACUCAGGUUCUCCAUCAGGGAUGCGUUGGCUCUGAUUUAUGGUUUACACAUUUUUAUUGGCCAUGAUCUUUCAGAAUAAUUCACAGCUAAAGCAAUUUUUGGGGCAUCCAAAAGAGCAAUGCUUAAAAAUAAAAUUUCCGUGGCCUGCAGUGAUUUACUACCUGGCAAAAGUCCUAAUCAACCCCAAACUCAGCAAUAAAUAAUUUGCAAGAACAGCUUUCUUACUGUGGCAUUGCUUCCUCCCCUAGUGAGCAAAUACAGAGUUCUCCUUUGCAUUUCAUGUUCAGAAAUAAUUUCUAGUGGUGUUAAUGGGACUUCGCCUCUGUAGUCCAAUAUCUGCUCAGCCAUCUAGCAGUGCCACAGAUGAUUGAAGCUGGCCUGCUCUGCUCCCUGUGUAAAGCUGAGGUUCUCAGCAGACUCUCACAACCUUGUCACUUUGGACAUCUCUUUGCAAUACACAGUCCAGAAUAAUUUUGGUUUUAUCGGCAGGAAAAACAAUGUCCAGUUUGUGAGAUCAAGAUAUGUAUGUGUUUUUAUGUAAAGAAGGAAAAAAUGCUAUUGUAGUGCAAUUUGAGAACUCAGCAGCAUAGAGUCUGUUUGAUUUGCAUUGUGUACUACUGACGUAUAGUCCCAUGAAAACACAGAAAUACUCAUUAAAGAGUCACGAAAUGCCACAUGCUGUGCUCUACAUAUAAGACCGUUGCAUUUUUCACACCAGUAAUAAGUACUCCAAAGUGCUUAUUAUAACAAACAGCAAAACAAGUGUGCAAAUUAAGUCUUGAACGUCUAGAGCAGAUCACUGUCUGAGAAGUCCUGUGAAGUUCUUUUCUGCUCAAAAAAUUUGCUAGCAACAAAUGAUUUUUAUGAGCACUGCAGAGCUAAUGGUGCUGUAGGAGAGAACUCUGGAUUCAUUUCUGAUUCAUGCCUCGCAGCGGAAUCGUUAAGUUCCAGUUGCAGGAUUUUUUAUUUCUGGUGAUGAUGCAUGAGCCAGAAAAGAGCAGAGGCCGAAUGGCAGUAAAGUUGGCAGACAUGAAAGAUUUCCUAGUAAAAGCUGAGCAAAUCAGAUCAGAAACCAUAAAUGUGAACCUUCACACUCUUAUUUCAAACCGCUCAUUUUCCUGUUUUCUUGUUUGGCAUUGGUUUGUUUUGUGCAUGGAAUUUGGAUGUAUAAAUGAAAUAUACUAUUAUGGAGGGUAUCACUGAACCCCAGUCCUGCAGCCUGACAUGCUUGAACAGUGGUUCAGCUGUUAUUCAUGUUCUGUCCAUUAUGAAUGUUUGAAUUCAUUUGCACAGCUAGGUAACAUCCAGAGACCUCCAUACAGCUUUAUAAGAAUGGUUUCCUUUCUCAAAGUAAAUGAGCUCUUGGUAUCUCUUCCAGUCCAGGCAGAUCCUUCCUCUACUGAGCACUAGUGAGGCUGCAACUCAAGCUCUGAGUUCAGUUUUUGGGCCCCUCACUACAAGAAAGGCAUCGAAGCCCUUGAGUGUGACCAGAGACAGCAAACAAAGCUGUGAAAGUCUGGAGCACAAAUCUUAUGGGGAGUGGCUGAAGAAACUGGGAUUGUUCAGCGUGGAGAAGAGGAGGCUCAGGGGAGACCUUAUCUCUCUUCAUUACUCCCUGAGAGGAGGUUGUAGUGAGGUGGGGUUCAGCCUCUUCUCCCAGAUCAAUAAGAUGAGAUGGUGCAACCUUAAGUUGCACCAGGGGAGGUUCAGGUUGGGUAUUAGGAAAAAUUUCUUCUCAGAAAGAACAGUGAGGCAGUGGGAGGUGGUGGAGUCACUGUCCCUGGCAGUGUUCAAGAAGCCUGUGGACAUAACACUAAGGGACAUGGUUAGCAGAGCUCAGUGAAACCAAAGCUGCGAAGAAGAUGUAAUAAAAGAAACUGAAGAGGAAGUGAAAGGGAAGAAGACUGUGUGAUUUUUGAGGAAGAAUCUACAUGCAGCUGAAGCCAGUUGGCUUCAUGGAGGGCGUACAAAAGGGAGCAAUGAAGAGAGUGGAUUUCCAGUCACACAAGAACGCAGUGCUUUAACAAUGGCAACAGAUAUCCUCGGCUUAAUGUUUUGUCGUAAUACAUGGAAAGUAAGAAACAGUCCAUUGAUACUGAGCACUUUAAUGAAUAAAAAAAAAAAACGAAAAAAGGUUUCAUUCCAGACUUUAAGAAUGCCAAUAUUGUGUAAUAAAAAUGGUAAACAGAAUGUUCGGAGCUUUUGCUUUGAGUCCCAAAAUGAAAAAAGAUGAAGCUUUAUUACUUUUUUUUUUUUUUAAUACAGUCUAGAGCCUUUCACUUUGGCUGCUAAUACAAAGAUGAUGGGAUAUAACACUGUGACACAGCAGCUGCCUUUUCAAUGAGGAAAGAGCCUCCAAACUUUGGUUUGCUAGUAUGACAUUCACCAAGAGACUAUUUAAUAAAAAAACAUGUAGUAUGAGGUCAGGUAUCUACAAGCUGGAUCCGGAUCCAUUAGUACAAAUGGACUUCAAAGCUUUGAUCCAUCCGUUUCAAACUGAAGGGAUCGUGUUGGCAUGUUUUGAGAGAAUAGACAUAUGCUCUGGAUGUCCAUGUUCCUCUUCAUCAAAAUCAC